CGCGUAGGUGGCUAAUUAAGUCAGAUGUGAAAUUCCAGGGCUUAACCUUGGGGCUGCAUUUGAUACGUGUAGACUAGAGUGUGAGAGAGGGUUGUGGAAUUCCCAGUGUAGAGGUGAAAUUCGUAGAUAUUGGGAAGAACACCGGUGGCGAAGGCGGCAACCUGGCUCAUUACUGACGCUCAGGUGCGAAAGCGUGGGGAGCAAACAGGAUUAGAUACCCCAGUA
rnacentral:rRNA from 1 species